rnacentral:rRNA from 1 species
UACGUAGGGGGCAAGCGUUGUCCGGAAUCAUUGGGCGUAAAGAGCGCGUAGGCGGUCCAGUAAGUCCGCUCUGAAAGUCCGGGGCUCAACCCCGGGAGGCGGGCGGAUACUGCUGGGCUAGAGUCCGGAAGAGGCGAGUGGAAUUCCUGGUGUAGCGGUGAAAUGCGUAGAUAUCAGGAGGAACACCGGUGGUGUAGACGGCUCUCUGGACCGUAACUGACGCUGAGGCACGAAAGCGUGGGUAGCAAACAGG